rnacentral:rRNA from 1 species
UACGUAGGGUGCGCGCGUUGUCCGGACUUAUUGGGCGUAAAGGGUUCGUAGGCGGUUUGUCGCGUCGGGAGUGAAAACCAGGUGCUUAACACCUGGCUUGCUUUCGAUACGGGCAGACUAGAGGUAUUCAGGGGAGAACGGAAUUCCUGGUGUAGCGGUGAAAUGCGCAGAUAUCAGGAGGAACACCGGUGGCGAAGGCGGUUCUCUGGGCCGAUACUGACGCUGAGGAGCGAAAGCGUGGGGAGCGAACAGG